rnacentral:lncRNA from 1 species
CGGCCGCUGGAGCCAUACCUGAAGGAGGCUAUGGGAGUACGGAGCCCAAAGCAGAGACGCGAGCCCCGACAGAGGUCUUAAUGAAGCUGGUAUUGAUGCAACAAAGAUUUUAAGACAAUGGAAGAGCGGAAAGCAAAGAGGAAGAGUCCCAAGUCCUUCAGUGCCCACUCUACUCAGGUUGUUAAUGCCAAAAAAAAUACCAUCCCAGCUAGCAAAAGCACAGGGUUUUCAAAUCCCGCGUCGCAGUCAACUUCCCAGAGGCCAAAGUUAAAAAGGGUGACGAAAGAAAAGAACAAACCUCCAGGAGGAGAAGGGAAGGGUGCCCAGGCCACACCCAUCCAGCACUCCUUCCUCACCGACGUCUCUGAUGUCCAGGAGAUGGAGCGCGGGCUCCUUAGUCUGCUGAAUGAUUUCCACUCAGGAAAGCUGCAGGCGUUUGGAAAUGAAUGUUCCAUAGAAUAAACGUUGUCGGGCUGAAGGAUUCGUCCUUGCCAUGGCCGCACUGACCCAGUGCCGGUCACACGGUGGUGGUGCACAGGUGUCCUGUAGCGGUCCAGCUUCAGUUUACGUCAGACAAUCAGUACACACGCAGGUGUGUUUCCCAAUGGCCAGUGACAAAUGUUUAAUAAGUACUCGUGAGAUUUGCUAUUUUUAAUAAAGCAAUUGUUU